rnacentral:tRNA from 1 species
GACCCUGUGGUGAAGUUCAUGUUGAGUUGCAAGCUCAUUGAUGCGCAUUAAGAUUGUGCCAGGGUCU